GUGGGAACGGAGGCAAUCGGCUGCUGCAGCUCGGUUGCAAAAGAGGCUCCUCUGUGUCAGGAGAAUCCACAUCCCCCCAAAUUAUCACCGGGUUUUGUUGCUUACGUGCUGGGGACGCAGCGCAAAAGCACACGCUGGGGCAGCAAACUUGGCCUAAAGAGUUAAGGGCGAUUUCUUCCAGCUUUCUGAAGGUUCCUCUGUGAAACAACAGGGGGAGAUUUCAAGGUAUUUCGGUGUGUUGGUGGCAGUAUUUUGUGACCGUAGGCCAGAGGGGUUCAGCGGGAUCUGCCCGCAGCAGCAGGACUCCACGUGGACCCUGGGAUGUGCCGUACAUGGAGCAGAUUAGAGGACCAAGGCCACGUUCUGGCUUGCAGAUAGUGCCGUGCUGGGAAAAGGUCGCCUCGAGUCCGCAAGCAGGGAGCCUAAAAUAUCCUGUUUCUGUUUCACUGCCUGAGAGCCCUGAAAGAGAAAGCAGAACAAAGAGCGCGCUCUUCACGUCAGAUGCGUCGUUAUCCUUUUCGGUCAAGCUGCAGACUUCAUUCUUGAUUUCCUGCGUGCUGAUGUAAGAUGUAUCACACAAUUGUCAAGACAGUGCAAAAUGCCCUCCAAAACCUGCACGAUGGGACAAACUUUCGGGUCCUGAGUCUGCAAGAGUUUAAUCCAUGCUUAAAUUGAUGCGUUGUCAACAGUCUUGUAGCAACAGGACUUUCAAAUUACAUAUUCACAUGUAACCCAACAUAGGAACAGAAAGGAGCAGUUUCCCAGCUGGUAACAUUAGCUUCAAUAUCCCUCUUUACAAUAUAUGCAGUACUUCGGGUAUUUGAAUACUCACUGCAUUAAAUACUAAAUGAUUGCAGUAGGACACUGUAUAAAAAAGGCUGAUACUGUUUUGUGCUUCAUUUA